rnacentral:rRNA from 1 species
GACGAACGCUGGCGGCGUGCUUAACACAUGCAAGUCGAACGGAAAGGCCCUGCUUUUGUGGGGUGCUCGAGUGGCGAACGGGUGAGUAACACGUGAGUAACCUGCCCUUGACUUUGGGAUAACUUCAGGAAACUGGGGCUAAUACCGGAUAGGAGCUCCUGCUGCAUGGUGGGGGUUGGAAAGUUUCGGCGGCUGGGGAUGGACUCGCGGCUUAUCAGCUUGUUGGUGGGGUAGUGGCUUACCAAGGCUUUGACGGGUAGCCGGCCUGAGAGGGUGACCGGCCACAUUGGGACUGAGAUACGGCCCAGACUCCUACGGGAGGCAGCAGUGGGGAAUAUUGCACAAUGGGCGGAAGCCUGAUGCAGCAACGCCGCGUGCGGGAUGACGGCCUUCGGGUUGUAAACCGCUUUCGCCUGUGACGAAGCGUGAGUGACGGUAAUGGGUAAGAAGCACCGGCUAACUACGUG